rnacentral:rRNA from 1 species
UACGUAGGGAGCGAGCGUUGUCCGGAAUUACUGGGUGUAAAGGGAGCGUAGGCGGGACUGCAAGUCAGAUGUGAAAACUAUGGGCUCAACCUGUAGAUUGCAUUUGAAACUGUGGUUCUUGAGUGAAGUAGAGGUAAGCGGAAUUCCUAGUGUAGCGGUGAAAUGCGUAGAUAUUAGGAGGAACAUCGGUGGCGAAGGCGGCUUACUGGGCUUUUACUGACGCUGAGGCUCGAAAGCGUGGGGAGCAAACAGG